rnacentral:misc_RNA from 1 species
UGUGGGAGCUGGCUUGCCUGCGACUGCGGUGAGUCAGCACCGGGUACUUUGGCUGGAAGACCGCCAUCGCAGGCAAGCCAGCUCCCACA